UCUUCCGUAACUCGAGGGCCUGGUACUCUUAGAAGGUCCCUGAGGUUUGCUGUCACAGUUGGCUGUUUGGCAGGGAUCUGACCUGUCAUUUGGAAGAACAAGGUUCUUAAAUUCCAGAGGUCAUCUGGGAAUAGUGUCCAAGCAUUCCCAGUUUCCUUCCCUAGAGAUCAAACUCAGGGCCUUGUGCACUCGAGGCAAGUAAGUAUCCAUUCUGUCGUUGAGCUACAUCUCCAGCCCUAACUUCCCACCUUCACCACAGAAGAAACCUAGGAGCGGUGGGAGUAGGAGAAUCACAAACUGAGUGAUGUAGAAAGCAGAUGGGAAAGAGGAUGGAUGAUGAACCAAAGACCUGUGACCAGAGAAAUGCUCAGACAGACAUAGCAAGGCCUGCCCUGUGGUCACUAGAAGCAGACACACACCAGGAAGGUUAAGAAGGCUUGACCUGACGAAAGAACAGCACCAUCAGCAAGGGACCAAGCCUUCAGUACACCAGGCCUCAGGGGACAUGCAGCAGCGAUAAAGCCAUUACGACUUAUUCAAAAAACUCAUUGACUAUAUACACAAUGUAAGAAUGAACGCAAAUCAUCACUGACAAGGAACCAGAACCUUACCCUCACCUAACAACUGUGCCACCCUCCAAGCAGAGCCAUUGUUCAUUGAAACAGUUGAUGAACGACUUCAUGGAUAGACCAUCGUAAUGC